UACUACAAAUUGUCAGUCACAAUUUUCCAACUAAUGUAGUCGGAAAAUUUAUAUUUGUAUUUAUAUUUAUUUUUUAGAAUUUUGCUGACUACGUUUUCGACUACUAGUAUCGUCAAGUUUCGCGGAAUUUUUCGCGCAUAUACUUUUCCGACUAUUGCAGUCGGAACAUAACAUAUAAACAAUUUUCGACUACAGUAGUAAAAAUUUUUUAAAAUAAAAUUAAUUAAAUAAUAAUUUGUUUCCGACUAUAGUAGUCGGAACUUAGUCAGAUAUUAUUUAGCGACUACUGUAGUCGGAUAACUUAGUUAUUUUGGGCCGAAAUCCUUAUUUUUCUAAUUAUCUUUUCCUUUCCCACACUCUCUCUUCUCUCUCACAGCUCACGUCCCUUCUCUCUUCCAACGGCGUCUUCAGUGGUUGUGACCGGCGCCGCCGACAACGACGACGACUCAGGUGUGUCUCUCUGUGUCAAUUUAUACUCUUUUACCAUUAUACAACCUACUAUUUUCGUUUUCUAGAAAGUAAUGCUCCAAACUACACAUUGACCGCGUUGUAUUUUUCCCUCUUUGAUGAAAUUAGUACUUAUUAGUUUUUAUCUUUUCCACAAGAAUAACUUAGUAGUCUUUGUGUAUGGUGUUGGUAUUUAUCUUAGUUCUUGUAAUUUAGUCAAUUUAGUAGUCUUCUGUGAACUUUGCGGCUGGCUAUGGGCUGUGUGUUUAGUAUUUCUCUAAAUAUUUUAUGUACUUUGCGAUUGGCUAUUAUCAAAGUUGUGUAUAACACGCAACUUUGAUAGUACAAAAGAAACUAUGGGCCAUAAGACUUGAAUAAACUCGAGGCAUGACUUACAGUUGUAAUCACAAUCAUUAACCCACACCACUCUAUAGGUUGAAUUGAAAUCUACUCUUGACAAAGAUAAGUUUCUGAACCAAUGACACACAAAUCGUUCCAGCAUAGUUGUCCAUGUGAAGGCUAAACUUGUAUAGAUGCAGGUUGCCCACCUUAUUUGAUACCCAAACCUGAAGAUGUUGGUAUUGUACAUGUAAUGAAUAUCUCCCUCAUGUAUAAUAGAUGCAUGAUGUACGUGGGAGAUAUUCAUUACAUGAGGAGUUUCAUGUGAAUGUGGAGUUUCAUGUGACAAUUGUGUAUGGUUUACAUACGGUAAGUAACAUGAAAACAUUAUAGACUGAAUCUAUGCCUUGAAUGUGGAGUUUCAUGUGACAAUUGUGUAUGGUUUACAUACGGUAAGUAACAGGAAAACAUUAUAGACUGAAUUGAGAUCAAUUGCAAGUAUGCAGCAAUAUGGGUAUUCGUCAGUCGGUACGGUACGAUAGUUAGUCAUUUCAGUCCGUUAUUUUCAGUAUUCGAUUUCUUAAAAUGCUAUACAAAAUACCAUACCUAAUUACAUUCAAUAUGAUUUGGAUUUUCUCAUUUCGGUUUCGGUUUAUUCGGUCUGAUAAUUUUAGUUUAUUUGGCUUGAAUAUUAUCUAGUGCAUAAAGUCAUAGAUUGUAAUAUUCUUAAUUAAAGUAAUUAAUGAAAACGUUCUAAGCUAACAUGACUGUUGACAAAAUCUUUGUCAAAAGCCAUCAAGUAUCAGCUAAGAGAAAAAAGGUACAUAAAGGAAUACAUUUGAUCAUCAGAAUUGUCAUCUUAUUUGCUUGGAGUUAAUUGUUAAAAUUAGAGAAUACAACAACGAUUAAUCUUACAUAUGCAACAACAAUACAAGAAUAAUGGAGUAAAAAAUACCCUAAAACCGUUGAAACAUUACGUUAAACUUCUUGGAAACCUAGAGUGUAAAAAUUAGAAUCUGCAUCCUACCUUGUUCCUUCAUUUUCCUAAAGAAGUACAUGGGCUUUACUGCCAACCUCAACAUGAAUGCCACAGAAAAGUAUUGUGUAACUUAGUAUGUUAAUAAAUAAUAUCUGUAAUGCGAAUUUAGUAUAUAUUUCGGUAUUAUUUUUUUAAUACCAAAUACCAUACCUAAUAUCAAAUUAUUUUUAAAACUUAAACCAAAUACCAAAAUAUCGAAUACCAUAUACCAAAAUUUUUGAUUUCGGUACGGUAGUUCGAUAUUUAUCAUAUUAUGCACGGCCCUAUGCAACAAGGAGCUUGGAUCAUAGUGGGUGAUUUUAAUGCCAUUAAACAUCUUGAUGACACACUAAAUGGGAACCUAGUUCAGGAGUUUGAGGUAGCUGACUUUCAUAAAUUUUUGGUGGACACUAAUACGGCAAAACUAAAGACAACUGGGAGGAGGUACACCUGGAUUAAUAAUCACACACAUAGCAAAAUCGAUUAGGUAUUGGUAAAUAGUGACUGGAUCAACAGAUGGACACAUUUGGAAGCUAUUGCUCUUGAUUCGGGAUUUUCAUAUCACAUACUGUUAGCUGUUGAAUUUACAAAUAUCCCUAUAAAGGGUACCAGACCAUUUUGGAUUUUUAACCAUUUGGUUCAACAUCCCAAUUUCCUAUCUCAUGUGGGCACUAAUAGAACAAUGGAAGGUAUAAAUAGGGAAUGCAAGGUAUCUGGACUAAAUUGCAAAAGGUGAACACAAGGAUUGAAAUUGAACUCUAAGGAGUAUUCAAAGAUUGAUGAAAAGGUGGAGAAAUAUAGGAACUCUUGGCUGACCUUCAAGUUCAAACAAGAGAUCCAAAUGAACAUGUGGCACUAGCUGAGCGGGAAAGGAAGUGAAACUGCAGCUAGAAAAACGGAAAUCAAUAUAUGAGAGCAUCCUCAAGCAGAAAUCAAGAGCUAAAUGGCUACAUCUAGGGGACUCCAACAAUGCAUAUUUCCUUUUUUGUAUGAAGCACAGGGUGGCUCAGAAUCAGAUAAGAAGACUGAUUACACUACAUGGUAACAUUGCACAUCCAGAAAGAGAUGUAAAGGUAGAAAUUAUUAAGUUCUACCAGAAUCUGUUAGGCUCUGCUACUGCAUGCUUGCCUACUGUUCAAUUGGAUAUUUUUCAGGAAGGGCAUAAACUUAGUAGAGAUCAACAACUGCAGUUAAUCUUACCUAUAAAUACUGAGGAAAUAUUUAAUGCCUUGAUGAUCAUUGAUGAGCAGAAGGCCCCCCGUCACGAUGACUUUAAUGCACACCUCUUUAAAGAAACCUGAAAGAUUAUUGGAGAAGAAAUUUUUGAGACAGUUGUUGAGUUUCUCAAGACAGGAAACAUGCACAGCCCCAUCAAUUGCACUUCAGUGACUCUCAUUCCUAAAGUAAGGAACCCCGUUAAUAUGAAAGAGUUUAGGCAUAUCUCUUGCUGCUCUGUGCUAUAAAAAAUUAUAUUCAAGGUGAGUACUAAGAGAAUGCAAUUCAUUAUGCCUAAUUUAGUUGACAACAAUCAAGCUGUAUUUGUUCUAUACAAAAUUAUAUCCAAGGUGAGUAAUAAGAGAAUGCAAUUCAUUAUGCCUAAUUUAGUUGACAACAGUCAAGCUGUAUUUAUGCCAAGAAGAGUUAUUACAGAUAAUAUCAUCUUGGGACAUUAACUUGCCAAAGCUUAUGGUAGGAAAGAGAUAUCUCUCAAAUGUAUGCUUAAAAUUGAUAUGCAAAAGGCAUAUGAUUAUGUAGAAUGGGACUUCAUUGAGAAAGUACUACAAGGUCUGCACUUUCCAACAAAGUUUAUAAGUUGGAUAAUGACCUGCCUGAAAAUAAUGUCCUAUUCAAUCAAUAUAAAUGGCAAACCUAGUAGACCAUUUGCAGCAAAGAGUGGAUUUAGACAGGGGAUCCAAUAUCCCCCUAUUUAUUUGUGCUUGUGAUGGAGAACUUGAGCAGACUACUCAAAAACAUGAUCAACAAUCCAACAUUUAAGUUUCACCCUAAGUGUGCUAAAAUUAAGAUUGCUCAGUGGUAAAGGGUGAAAAAUACAUAUUUUGAGUAUAUUUGUGUAAUAUUUCUUGUGUGAGUUGCGGGAAUUUACACCGCUUUUGAAGAAAAAAUAAGCUCAGUAUGUGUUUCUCAUGUGUAGGAACGAACUUGUGCGGAGAAGGAUCAAAUAGGAGAAAAAAUAGCAAAAAACAAAUUUAAAGAGAGAAAUCUGGGACCGCGAAUCGAGGCUUGCUUCUCCAGACUGGGACUGGAGCAGAAGAAAUCAGCUUCUCCAAUCCGAAUUAGGAGAGGCCAAAUUCGCCCCAACUCAACCCUAAACCAUAUAAAUAUGAGAGUUAGCUACUUUUUGAAGGGAAAGAAGCCUUUGAGGAGGCAAGAACACACUUGGAGCAGGGAGAAGAAUUCAACUUCACGUUUUUUCCUCUUUCUUCCAAUUUUCUAUUAUUGGUUAUGAAUUUUAGUAUUGUAGUUUUACAUACUAUUAUGAAUAGCUAAUUUAUUAUCUUGGGUUUUGAUGGAACCUUUUGUAGGAUAAAUUCUUAUUAUGUUUUUAUAUAAUAGAGUCGUUGGAUUUCUCUACUUGUUCAACUACGUGUUUAUUGAUGUUGAUUGAAGGGACAUCAAUUGACUGUGCCUAUUUAGUGUGUAUUGCUUAAGAAAGGGUACGCAUUUAGGUAACCGUUGGACAACAUCACUCCUAACGUAUUUAAAAAAUCAAUACGGAGGGUUUAUAGGCGGGAUUAAAAAUAAUGAAACUUUGGUGCGAUCGUAGUGAGCGGCGAAUUAAUGCGAGCUAGCGUAGUUCGAGAGAAUAUGCUGAGGAAAUUGUGGUAAUUUUGAAAGAGAAUUACGAUACCCGAAGUACUCACGAUCGGAAGAGAAUAGUUAGGCGAUAUUAUAGGAGAUGUAGCGAGAAGGAUUCCGAUAAUUAGGAAAAUCAUAACCCUAAGCUUCCUUAAUUCACUUAUUUAAUUUAUUAUCUAAUUAGUUAGAUAUAAGAAUCUUUAUAUUUAUAACUUAGAAAUUAUUCGAGCUUGUCUUCUUAGUGAUAGUAAACAGUUGUAGCUAAAUCUUAAUUCUCUGUGGAAUUCAACUCCGGAUUCUUAGGCCGGAUUAUAUUUGUAGCGACCGCUUAUCCUUUUAAGGACUAGAGUUGGGCGUGAUCAAAUUUUGGCGUGGUUGCCGGGGAACUAACAGUGUAGCUGUAGGUGUACAUAUUGCUAGGUUUCAAGUUUGAACUUUUAUUUUAUUUUCAAGUAUUUCCUCUGCUUCAAUUUAGAUGGGGUAGUUUGACUCGGCACGAAGUUUAAGAGAAAAAAAAACUUUUGAAAUUUGUGGUCUUAAAAACUUAAGGGAUAAAUUUUUGUGGGCCAUGACAUUUGUAUGGUUAUAAAAGCUUCUCAUUAAGGGUAAAAUGAAGAGUUUAAAGUUAAAUUAUUUCCAAAUUUAGAAAUGUGUCAUUCAUUUUAGAACAGACUAAAAGGGAAAAUACCUCAUCUUAUUUGAAGCAGAGGGAGUAUUUGAUUUUUUUUAAAAAAAAAUUGGUUUUACUUGUUGAUUUGAGAAAUAUGGCAUCUUGAAAUUAUGGAAAUUUCGUUGUUGGUAAUUCUACUAUUGAUCUUACUUGUGCUUAUUGUUGAGGAAGCCACUUGUGGCAAUAUUGUCAAAAUAUUUCUUAGAGUGAGUUAUGUGCACCAACUAAAUCUUAUGUGAGAUGUAUGUGAUGUGUGUGGUGGUCAAGAUGGUCACUUUUAUGGUUGUGCUUGUGUUUCUUAUCCUUCCCAAACCCGUAUUAUAAUGGUUUUACUUUUUCUUAUGAAGUUAACAGGAACAAAGAACUAGGGGAAGCUGACCUAAAGGAGAUCAAGGAUAUGUUAAAGUGCCUCAUGGAAUAAAAUAAUGAGAAACACUUGCAUAUUCAAAGGCAAGAGGCAACUAUUCGCAACUUAGAGGCCCAAGUAGCUCAAUUAGUUGAAGCAUUUAAUGCUCAACAAGCUAAUAUUGUGGAUAGUAACCAAAACGAGUAUGCAUUAGAUGCAGAAAUUAAGGUGCUAAUGGAGAAAGUUAGAGUAGAAAUAGAAAACCAACAAUCUAUCCAACUAGAAUUUUAGGAUACCGACGUCGUAGAAGAGAUACUAGAGUCAACCAAGGACAUUGAGGAUACAUAUUUAGUUGACUCUAGUGUCAUUGGUGUUGAGGAUGUUGACAGUCCCAAAGUUUAUGUAUUUGAGCGCAUUGGUCCUCACUCCAAGCAUUUUUCCAUAUUGUGUUUAGAUGAUGAUAUGUAAAUAGAGUCAUUCGAGCCAAUUAAGGGGGUCAAGAAAUGAGGAACAAGGUGCCUACAUUCUGGAAUUCUUCUUGCCAGAAAGUCAGGAGUACACACCUCAUCUAAAGGCCAAGAAGUAUAGAAUACUACAUUAUUUCCUUGGGCCAGUCAAAUUUGUUUCAUCGCCUCAGGAGCAUAAUCAUAAGCUUGAAUCAAAAUUAGGGGUUCAAUUCAUAAGCUCGAGGUGGAGGAAGAAAGUAAUUAACAUUGUGCCGCGACAUUAAAUCGGGUGCUUAUGGGGAGACAACCCAACUUUAAUGCUUUCUUUUAAUUUUAAUUUUAAUUUUUUUUAUAGUACUAUUUUUGUAGUGUUGUUUUUGAUUUUCUAUGAGAAUGGAAAGCAAAGCCAUUGAAAGGAUGCAAAACUAAGCUAGAUGAUUGGACUUAAGUGUGGGGUUCCCGCACAAAACAAAAGUCUCGGAGAAGUCUGAGUACUCCAAGAGCUGCUAAUGCUUCGGCCUUUGGCCGAUUAGGGAGUUUUUUUUACCCUUUUGUAUUUAUGGGUGUGCAUUGGGGACAAUGCACAAUUUUAAGUGUGAGGUGAAGAGACCGUUUGGGUGAUUUUUUAUGCUAUUUUAGUUGUGCUAUUUUAUGUGUUCUGAAAAUAAAUCAAAAAUAAAAAAGAUAAUUAGGUAGAAAUAAGCCCUCUUAGUUUUUCUUAUGGCCAAGGUUCUUUUCUAAGGAAUGACUCUUUAAACCGAAUAGUCAUUUUUUAGGUAGAAUUUUCAAAAAGUUUUGGACUUUUUCGACGAUGGACUUCCUAGACAGUUCUUUUGAGGGUUUAAAGUCCAAAAAAAAUACAAAAAUAAAAUCUUUUUCUUUUUGAAUUGAUAAUUAAAUGAAGAGAACUUGAGUAUCUAUGCUUUUUGACAUAUUUUAUAUCGGGUCUUAGAGGUGGAACAUUUGCACUAAGUACUUUCUUCAUGAUAUUUGUAAUUAUAUGCCUUGAGAAUAUAUGUGACUUUAUUUUGACAUCGAGGCUCAUCUUUUGACUCUUCUGACUAAUUUAUGUGUGCUUAAAUUUUGUGAUGACUGUGCUAGUUGCUUUAGCUUUAGAGUCGGGUCAGAGUCGUUCUGAGUGAGUCACGUACAUUGUAUGAGGUGAAAUUUUAGUAUACUCUGUGCCAUCCUUACUAGUCUAGAACUUCCCCGUGUGUGAGUCAAAGUGAAAUGAUUAAGUCUUGUGAGUUUGUGAAGCGAUAUAGGCUUUCUUUGAUUGAUAAUUUUAGCUUAUUUGUUUACCAGUGCUAAUAUUAUCCAUAGUCACCCCUUUUGAGCUUGUAGACCUUUUCUUUGGCAACCACAUUACAAGCCAAAUCCCCUUUGUUAUUAAUCAAAUCUUGUUGAACUUUUACCUCCAAAAGCACUUAAGUAGCUAGAAUAAUAAAGAAAGAGAUUGAGUAGCUUUUGAGUGGAACCAUAGAAAGGACGACAAGGUGAACUUGUGUAUAAAAACAAUACUAACCGAAAAUACCAAAUUAAGGAGAGUGAAAAAAAAUAAAAAAUGAAUAACACCACCGGUAUCUUUGUCUGGGCUAGUAAGUAUUUAUAUGUUGACGUGCUUAAUGAAGAAGGGCCUAAAUGUGUAUGGUUUCAUGGCAAGACAUUGAAUUGGUCAUGACAAGAAGGUAUUUGGAAAUGAAGUGUAGUGUAUUUAAAGUGAUUAGGAGGGUUAGUCACUAUUCUCAAAUAUAUAUUAUCCUUCCUUUAGCUUACAUUACAACCUAUAAAGUCCUACUUGAUCCUACGCAUUGCGAGCUUAAAUUAGUAAAGACUUACACUACGGGCAAGCCUAUGGUACUAGCUUUGGUAGCAUAAGAAUUUUUUUGUGAGAGUGAGCAAAUUGUUUCGAUUGAAGAGUCCUUAAAAUAUAUUUUAACUUAUAUUGAGUGUGUGGACUACUUUCUAUAUGGUUUUUUGGUGUGGGCACAUGAAUUGCAAAGGAUUCGUAGAGACUUUGAUUUUUGAGUUGGCACAAGGAGCGAGCCAUAGUGUGGAAUGUGCUGGAGUCAAGUUUUGAGGCGAGGAUGUUAGAAAAACCCACACGAAUAUUUUAAAUAAUCUUGACAUGAGUUUAAAACUUGAGAAAAGAUAUGAAGAGUGCAUAUGUUGGGUUCUAAGUGUUGAUAUAAACCAGUGUCAUUGGUGUGAUGCUUGAGUUUGCUUUGAAAGGUAUUUUUUGCCUAUGUGCUUAAUUUGAAAUUGCUCGAGGACGAGCAAGAGUUUAAGUAUGGAGUGGUGAUAAAGGGUGAAAAGUGCAUGUUUUGAUUAUAUUUGUGUAUUAUUUCUUGUGUGAGUUGUGGGAGUUCACACUGCUUUUGAAGUAAAAAUAAGCUCAUUACGUAUUUCUUAUGUGUAGGAACGAACUUGCAAGGAGAAGGAUCAAAUAGGAAAACAAAUUGGCAAAAAAAAGCUGAAGAGAGAAAUCUGGGUUCGCUUCGCCAGACCGGGACCACAUCAGAAGAAAUCAGCUUCUCCAAUCCGAAUUAGGAGAAGCCAAAUUCGCCCAACUCAACACUAAACCAUAUAAAUAUGAGAGUUAGCCACUAUUAUGAUAGCUAAUUUAUUAUCUCGGAUUUUGAUGGAACCUUUUGUAUAAUAAAACUCUUGUUAUGUUUUUAUAUAAUUGAGCCAUUGAAUUUCUCUACUUGUCCAACUACAUAUUUAUUGUUGUUGAUUGAAGGGUCAUUAAUUGACUGUGCCUAUUUAGUGUGUAUUGCUUAAGAAAGGGUAUGUAUUUAGGUAGCCG
rnacentral:lncRNA from 1 species